rfam:Alligator mississippiensis ScZkoYb_6000, whole genome shotgun sequence.
CUAGGGUGAGGUAGUAAGUUGUAUCGUUGGGGGGUCGGGAUUGGAGCCCCGGUGUCGAGGUAACUAUACAACUUACUACUUUCCCUGG